GUGGGGAAUCUUAGACAAUGGGGGCAACCCUGAUCUAGCCAUGCCGCGUGAGUGAUGAAGGCCUUAGGGUCGUAAAGCUCUUUCGCCGGGGAAGAUAAUGACUGUACCCGGUAAAGAAACCCCGGCUAACUCCGUGCCAGCAGCCGCGGUAAUACGGCGGGGGUUAGCGUUGUUCGGAAUUACUGGGCGUAAAGCGCGCGUAGGCGGAUCGGAAAGUUGGGGGUGAAAUCCCGGGGCUCAACCCCGGCAUUGCCUUCAAAACUCCCGGUCUUGAGGUCGAGAGAGGUGAGUGGAAUUCCGAGUGUAGAGGUGAAAUUCGUAGAUAUUCGGAGGAACACCAGUGGCGAAGGCGGCUCACGGGCUCGAUACUGACGCUGAGGUGCGAAAGCGUGGGGAGCAAACAGGAUUAGAAACCCGGGUAGUCC
rnacentral:rRNA from 1 species